rnacentral:rRNA from 1 species
GAUGAACGCUGGCGGCGUGCCUAAUACAUGCAAGUCGAGCGAACGGACGAGAAGCUUGCUUCUCUGAUGUUAGCGGCGGACGGGUGAGUAACACGUGGAUAACCUACCUAUAAGACUGGGAUAACUUCGGGAAACCGGAGCUAAUACCGGAUAAUAUUUUGAACCGCAUGGUUCAAAAGUGAAAGACGGUCUUGCUGUCACUUAUAGAUGGAUCCGCGCUGCAUUAGCUAGUUGGUAAGGUAACGGCUUACCAAGGCAACGAUGCAUAGCCGACCUGAGAGGGUGAUCGGCCACACUGGAACUGAGACACGGUCCAGACUCCUACGGGAGGCAGCAGUAGGGAAUCUUCCGCAAUGGGCGAAAGCCUGACGGAGCAACGCCGCGUGAGUGAUGAAGGUCUUCGGAUCGUAAAACUCUGUUAUUAGGGAAGAACAUAUGUGUAAGUAACUGUGCACAUCUUGACGGUACCUAAUCAGAAAGCCACGGCUAACUACGUGCCAGCAGCCGCGGUAAUACGUAGGUGGCAAGCGUUAUCCGGAAUUAUUGGGCGUAAAGCGCGCGUAGGCGGUUUUUUAAGUCUGAUGUGAAAGCCCACGGCUCAACCGUGGAGGGUCAUUGGAAACUGGAAAACUUGAGUGCAGAAGAGGAAAGUGGAAUUCCAUGUGUAGCGGUGAAAUGCGCAGAGAUAUGGAGGAACACCAGUGGCGAAGGCGACUUUCUGGUCUGUAACUGACGCUGAUGUGCGAAAGCGUGGGGAUCAAACAGGAUUGGAUACCCUGGUAGUCCACGCCGUAAACGAUGAGUGCUAAGUGUUAGGGGGUUUCCGCCCCUUAGUGCUGCAGCUAACGCAUUAAGCACUCCGCCUGGGGAGUACGACCGCAAGGUUGAAACUCAAAGGAAUUGACGGGGACCCGCACAAGCGGUGGAGCAUGUGGUUUAAUUCGAAGCAACGCGAAGAACCUUACCAAAUCUUGACAUCCUUUGACAACUCUAGAGAUAGAGCCUUCCCCUUCGGGGGACAAAGUGACAGGUGGUGCAUGGUUGUCGUCAGCUCGUGUCGUGAGAUGUUGGGUUAAGUCCCGCAACGAGCGCAACCCUUAAGCUUAGUUGCCAUCAUUAAGUUGGGCACUCUAAGUUGACUGCCGGUGACAAACCGGAGGAAGGUGGGGAUGACGUCAAAUCAUCAUGCCCCUUAUGAUUUGGGCUACACACGUGCUACAAUGGACAAUACAAAGGGCAGCGAAACCGCGAGGUCAAGCAAAUCCCAUAAAGUUGUUCUCAGUUCGGAUUGUAGUCUGCAACUCGACUACAUGAAGCUGGAAUCGCUAGUAAUCGUAGAUCAGCAUGCUACGGUGAAUACGUUCCCGGGUCU